rnacentral:lncRNA from 1 species
AAACACUAAGAAUUUGAUUCUCUAUAUUAAAUAACAAUUAUACAACAACAAACACAAAUUUUAUAGACUCCACAUCAAAUAAUCAUGGAUUUAAUGUUAUGUUUUGAAGCUCCAAAGCCAUAACAAUGACUUUUUAACACGAACUAUCCCAAAAUAAAAUUCCAUACACAAAUUGGUACACGAAUUUUCUGAUUAAAAAUAAACAUACAAUAACACAACAACAUCAAAUUCAUAUCUCAAUUAAUACCCAACAAGAAUUCCUCAUUCUACCAUUCAUGUAUAUAUCCAUUAGAGAAGUAGUUCCUCCCCUUACCUUGGUUCUCCUAGCAGUAAAAGGAAUCUAAAUUUCUUGGUGUCCUUCCCUCUCCCAAAGCUCUAAAUUUUCAAUGCUACUCUUGCCUCCUCAAACAAAUGUUCUUAAGUUUUCAAUGCUACUCUUGCCUCC